UCAGGAAAUUGUCUUACACCGGGAAAGGACAAGCAGUAAGUUUUCAUAGUUUGCCGCAGUGUAAACAAUGGCUGCGGGCUAUCAACCACCCAAAGUUUGGAGAAGACACCAAUGCGGUAAAAUUGAAAAACCCUCAGGGUUUGCAGUCUCCAUUUCAAGCUGCAAGACAUCGAACCCAAUGUACUCGGAAUGAAGCAAAACACGCUAAAGGACACUGCAGUUCCGUCCAUAUUUACCUUCCCAGACACGACGAACAGCCGGGGCCAUCUGGUAUCAAACGCAUUCGUCUAGAGGUUUCCGGAAGAUGAUGCAGAAGAAAGGGAAAAAAAGAACAAUGAAAUCCUCCUAGAAUGGACCAGGUCUGUCCUAAAUCAUAUGUGGUUUUCCUGUGAAACCAGUAAGGGUGAAGUCGAGGUAAGACAUUUGAUUCUAAUUUGUUUCUUUUUAAGGAAAACUAUUUUUCUAGAUUUAUUUUAUAACAAUCAUAUUUUCAUGCAUGUACUGAAAUGCCGUUGGAAGUCCAUUCUGCACCAUGUGUGUAAUUAGUAUCACGGCCGGCUCGUUCUCGACCGUAACAUAAAAUAGGAUCACAUUUUUGCAGAUGAUUUGGCAUGCAAGACAUAUUUAUUAAAGUAAAAAUGAAACCAUUACAAAAGAAUAUAGUAAUGUCUAGGGGUUUAAACAAUACAAAAUAAUAAUCCAAAAAGAUAAGGAAUGUUGAUGAAGGUAAAACCGAAGAAAAUGCAGGAGUACAGAUGACUUCUCUGGAGACUGCCAUUCGACAGAAAAAGUAACAAGAGAUGAAUCAGUCCAUCAUUUAUUCGCUCCACAAUCAAUCAAUGUAGUCAGUCAACAGGGGUGUGCAAUCAACCACACGCUUCCAAGAAAUUCUGCCACCAGCAGGAAAGGAAAGGGAGCACAGGGUCGUAACAUUAGCAUGAGUGGACAGAUGACGGAGGACAGCAUGUGACCGUGCUCCUCUAACAGCACAGGAGCAAAAGAUGCGUAUGUAGAUGAAAAAGGAUUCUGUGGCAUUUCAAGACCUGUCAUCGCUGGUCCUUGAUAAAAGGCUUCUGAGAGACAUGGAAAAGAUGGCCCUGUUCAAACAUACUGGUGAGAAGUUGUGCUUGAACACUUGAUUGUUUUUCCAAAUCCUAAUGAUCAUUGUUAUGACCCCAGUGCGGGUCAAAGCGUUGGUAUGUUGUUUUGUCUUUUCUUGUUUUGCAGGACGGUGUUCGAGUAUGUGACGUCAUGAUUGUGAGAACUUACACCUGUUUGGAUGCUGGCGCAUAGAAGCAAUUCUCUUUUGAGUGACGUCGCUUGCUCCCCUCGCUUCCUGUGUCGUCCUAGUUCCUGUUUAGUUGUUUGCUUUAACGUUAAUCCCUGUUUUAUUGUUUACUUUAAUAAAUGUAAUUCAUUCUUUCAUCCUUACCUCACGCGUUGUCUCCUUCUUUGUCACAGUUUGCGAGCCGACAGUGACCUUAUGUUUUAAUUUGUUAUAUCCCUUCUUUCUUUCUCUUUAUAAAGUCUUUUACAGCGCAAUUU